UUGGCAUACACAUAAUAAAUCGUGACUGUUUAUUAAAAAAAAUCUGUAUUCAUAUGUAUCAAUCAUGUUGAUAACAACAAUGUUGAUAUUUGUAAAUAAAAAAAAUAUUACAUACAAUCAUGUAAAUUUCCUGCACCUAGACGUCCAAAUAAAAACCCAGUUCAAAGGUCAAAUGUUGAACGUCAAUCUGAUGUCCAAUUUGGGUCAUGGUUAGACGUCCAAAUAGAGGACCUAGUUUGGACGUCGAAUAGAUGUCCAGAAUUGGUCAUCGACCGACGGACCCAAUAUAGACAUGAUCUGCACGUCUAUCCGACGUCCAAUGUUUAGUGGGAACAUUGCGUCAAAUAGAAAGAGAAAAUCGUGCUACAUGCACUUUCAUGAGAUCGGGUUAGACUACAACAAUUAAUUUGUAGCCUAUUUUACAAAUGGGAAUACAACAAAUUCAUGACAAUGUUUUACAUUCAAGCUACCCGUAAAAUUUAUAGUGACAAGUUCUUUAAAAUCAUCUGGAAUGCAAUAAAGUAAUUUUUAAAGCUGUUUUGCUGCAUGGAUUAAAAAUAGGCUAAUAAAUACUUCACAUAUCAGACAAAAUUGCAUUGCAGAAAAUCCUUGAAAUUCAGAUCAGAGCAACAUAAAAAUCUGAAAAAAUAUAAUCAGGCCUGUUUUAGGCUUUUCCUUAUUUUUAUAUUUUAGACGGUGAUGAAAAAUGACUUGCCUUUAGAGACAAAUGCAUCUUUACGGAUUACAUAAUGAAAGAGUUUUUGUUUUCGAUUUGAAUUAUUUCGUUUUAAAGUAGUAAUUUAAAGCUUUCUAUAGAUAUAUUGAUCAUAUUUGUGACUCAAUUCGUUGAGUUUCGGUUCAAGACGAGACGGCAAGCGCAUCUGUUUUCCUAUUUAUUUUAAUAAAAGUAAAACGUUUUGUUGAUAUUGUGAAUGCACACAAAUAACAGUAGACCCUUUACAGUUCCGAAUGAUGUAUUACUCUUACCUUUAUAAGCAAAAAUUACGGCAUAUUUUAAGUUGUUUCCACUAUCAAGAAAAAAAAUGCAAGUGACCGCUCUGGCGCCUCCAUGUCCUGCAAAGCACGCUUCAGCUUCCACUCUUCAUACAAACGAUUAGAUAUGCACCUUAGCGCACGUUUAUAUAGUUCAAACAUUUAAACAUUGUGAUAUGCUUGAACUGUUUAUAUCUAUAGAUUGUAUUUUAAGUCGUGGUGAUUUGAGAAGGCUAAAUUGAUCACUGUCUGCCGCUGGCCACUUGGUUGUUACUUAACAAAAAAAAAAAAAAAACCUUACAUUUAACGAACAAAAAGUGCUCCAAACAAUUUUAUAAAUUAGCUUUAUAAAAAACGAAAUGAAAUCACUUUACCAUUAAAUACGAUUUUUUUACAUUCAUAGGUCAGCUUCUCUGGGCCAUUGUGCAAAAUAUGGCACAUACUCUUUGAUUGAGGACAGAAUCAACAAGGUUUUAGAUAUUCAACUUAUCCAGGUAAGUUAAUGUUAUCAAACACACAUAUCACCUGUCUAAUGUUACACAGUGACAUGACCAAAUGUUUUUUUAUAGAGCUCCGAGGUCCCAAGUAGCUCCUGGUGUGAGCUAGAGGGUCUAAAGCGCAGCAUAAGGUUUCUGACUGAGCAACAUAUAAAGUGUCGGCCCUCAUCACAGACAGAAUUCGGCAGGUAAAGACACGCAUAUGUACACACAAAAAUCUUACUGCUGACUAUACUAACAACUAAAAUCAAAUAUUCUUAUAAUAAAUGUGUUGUGUCCCACAUUUUAGGUUGCCAAGUGGGUGCGGGAGGAGCUGUGUCCAAAAGGAACAAGCCAUUUCUUUGACAUCUGGCAUAUCUGCAAAAAUAUGUAUCUUGAUGAAGGUAGUUUUGUUUUGUUCUGAAACAGGUCUAGGGAAAGCUUUGGAUGCUGCCGCAAAGGACUACUGGACUGCAGCUUCCACUCCUAAUGGAGAUGUGAUGGAGGCCAAGCGGAAAAGCAUGGUCAACCAUGUUCAGGACAUCCAUGAACGUGACACUCCUAACGUUUCCCUGCUGUGCACAUCCACCUCUGAAGGGGGAAGCAAGGAACAAGGAGUGGUUGGAACCAGAUGGUUUUAAAGGACUCCCAGCCUGCACAUAGCAGCACUAAAAUGGAACAGAGCUGGUGAUCGUCAAGCCCAGUCCUCUCAGUGAGAUGGUGGUCCUGUUUGCAAGAGAGGAAACUCCUACCUUAACCUGAUUGGGAGAACGCUUUACAGUGGUAUCACCAGCGAUCUGCCUGACCCAUCAGUCCUCCAAGUGGAAGUGUGAAAAAAAACAUACCAUUACACUAUCACAGUUAUUAGUAUUUGUAUUUUACAUAAUUAUUACACUGUAUC